GUCACGUCGAAUUGUAUACAUUUUUAAAAAUCUUCUUUUUCUUUAAUUCUAUUAAAGAAUGAACGAACAAAAGUUUAACGUAAAGUUGGUAGAAGAAGUGGAAAGACCACUCAUUUUGUACAACUUUCACGCCAUUCUAGGGAGGACGAGACGGAAAUGGCAUAGAACGAAGUCGGAAAAACAAUAAUUAUGACAACAAGGUAAUUCGUCACUUGAAAAUAAAUUAUUCAAUCGUCAUUUCUGGAAUGGAUGACAUGUCGUUAAAAAGUGUUGAUGCAGGCCCUAUACUUUAUAUACUUUCGAUCGCUUUGGGUACAGUGACUCGUGAGCGGAUCUCAGUGACCAAUGCGUCAGUAAUAGUUAGCAAUUUAAAUCAUAGACCAGUUUAGGUUGCUAAUGAAUAACUCCGUGUGUAGAGUGUGUAGAGGGCUUACAGUUAACGCUGAAUGAUAACAAAUAUAAUACAACAGUAUAUGGUAGUUACUAACUGUUUUAUUAGUAUACCGGGUGAUUAUUUUAUCGUUAAACACUCAUUUCCUCGGAAAGUAUUAACUUUUUUCGAAAUUUGUUUUCUAGAACAUCUAAGAAACAAGCAGCUCUGCAUUUUUACAAUUAAAAUUAUUUUUUGUAACUCUAAAGUUUUGGGUGUGAAACGACUACCUACUUUUGAUUUUCAAAUAGCAACCUAUAUUCGAAAUUCGGUAAAUAGAUGGAGUAUUAGUUUCAAUAAAUUUUGGGGUUGAAAUUUUCGAUUCCCGUCAAUCCAUUUAUGAGAUAUUUCACUUUCAAGUUUUGGUCGGGGGAGAGAAGUGGAGCACAUUUGUGUAGCGGCACGGAGCGCAGUGUUUAAAUAAUGCACCACUACUCUCCCCCGACUAAAACUUAAAAGUGAAAUAUCUUAUAAAUGGAUUGACGGAAAUCAAAAAUGUCAACACAUUGUGCAUUACGACACUUUGUGCAAUACAAAGAAUUAAAAUGGUACACCUUCCACCUAUUUAUUUUUUAUAGACGAGCCCCAUAAAAAACAUUAUUAUCUCGACACUCGUUAUCUGGGAAAGUAUUUAUUAUGUACAUGCAUUUUUUAUUACUAUUAUUAUUAUUAUUAUUAUUAUUUUUUUUUUUUAAACAACUUAUAAAACAAAUGUUUAAAAGCUAACAUUUUAACAUUUUAGAGCUAACUUAUAAAACAAAUAGCUCUUAAAUGUUACAUCACUGUUGUUUUUUGUUAUUCUUUUUUUCGGCGGUGAAACUUUUAAUUUUGAUUUUUAAACAACACCUAUAUUAAAAAUUCCAUAAAUAAUUAUAGAUAUUUUUAAUUUCUAUCAACGCAUUGUAUCUACUGUAUGUACAAAGUGACUUCAAGUACACCACUUAUCACAACUGCCGAUAUAGAAAGAAGUUUAUCAGAAGUUUCUCCAGAUAAAAAAUGUAUUAAACAAUAACAGACGGUCAGUCGACUUCGAAAACUUAAAAAAAAACAUUCGUCGUCCAAUUCAAUAACUUAAGCAAUGUUUGUAUUUAAUUUUGCUUGUAUUAUAAUAUUUUAUUAUAUUGAUUAAUGAUAAUGCUGACAUAAUUUUAAAAUUAUAAGUGCAAUUUUUAAUAUAAUAUUUUUAAUACAAUAAUACAAUCAAUUUAGUGAGUUUUUUAAUGCAACGAUUUUACUGCCCUAGUGAUUAGUAUUAUUGUGUUGUUUAUUAGCCAAUGACGAACAUAAUUAAACACUAGCAAUCAUUUUGUUAUUUUUUUUAUUAUUAACUGUGUAUUUACACCGUUUAACCGAUUGAAUAUCGUACAACAGUACAUGCUUGUCCAUUUUUAAUUUCUCUGAAUAAUUAUUAUAAUAGAUUAUCUGUAGAUUUAAUCGAAUUAUCAUGUUACAGAUACGCAUCUACGUCAUGAGCCAUCUGGCCACCCAACUAAUCGAAACAAAUUCACGGCCUCUCGAAAAUCUCCGGGCCAUACCGCUGUAGCAAUCAGGUCAAGGUACGAUCACUACUUUGUACAUAGGUGUAUGUACAGUACAUUGAUUGUGGUCUUUUUAUAGUCAAAACAUAUUAACGGUUAGGUUAACGAUUAUUAAGGAUUACGUGUUUAGAAAUUAAGGUUUGUCUACUUUCACGGGGCCGUAUUCAGUAUAUACGGUCAUACAAACGCGGGUCUCCGCAAUUUUUAGACUUAGUUUCAACUGGAUUUACAGACAGACCGUUGGUAUCACUUCUUACAUUUGUGUGAACCCCGGG